rnacentral:rRNA from 1 species
AGAAUCAACGCUGGCGGCGUGCCUAACACAUGCAAGUCGAACGAGAAAGUGGAGCAAUCCAUGAGUAAAGUGGCGCACGGGUAAGUAACACGUGACUAACCUACCCUUGAGUGGGGGAUAACCUAGAGAAAUCUGGGCUAAUACCGCAUAAUACCUUCGGGUCAAAGGAGCAAUUCGCUUAAGGAGGGGGUCGCGGCCGAUUAGUUAGUUGGCGGGGUAAUGGCCCACCAAGACUAUGAUCGGUA